rnacentral:rRNA from 1 species
GCUUACGGCCACACCUCCCUGACAACGCCCGAUCUCGUCUGAUCUCGGAAGCUAGCAGGGUCGGGCCCGGUUAGUACUUGGAUGGGAGACCGCCUGGGAAUACCAGGUGCUGUAAGCC